UUACGGUCACAUCACGUUGAAACACCAGUUCCCGUAAGAUCACCGAAAUUAAGCAACUUCGAGCCUGGAUGGUUAACCGUUUGGGAAUACCAAGUGCUGUAAGC